rnacentral:lncRNA from 1 species
UGUAAUUUUUCCAUAGCUGUUAGUUCUUCUCCGUCUUGGGUGUAUAUGGUAUUUAAUAAUCCAUAGUCAAAACAAGUUUUUAUUAAGCUUGGGUUGGUUUUGGGUAGUGCAAUUAGCUUGUUGUAACCUUGUAAUUUUUGGGUUAUAUAAUUUGUGUUUGGUUCUUUGAUAUUUGUAGCUCUGGGGUUAAGGUUUAGGAAAGUUUGUACUCUGUAGAUAUUUUCUAUGUAUUUU